rnacentral:rRNA from 1 species
AGUCGAGGGGCAGCAUUUUAGUUUGCUUGCAAACUAAAGAUGGCGACCGGCGCACGGGCUGAGCUAACACGCUAUCCAACCUGCCGAUAACUCGGGGAUAGCCUUUCGAAAGAAAGAUUAAUAUCCGAUAGUAUAUUAAAACCGCNUGGUUUUACUAUUAAAGAAUUUCGGUUAUCGAUGGGGAUGCGUUCCAUUAGCUUUGUUGGCGGGGUAACGGCCCACCAAGACUACGAUGGAUAGGGGUUCUGAGAGGAAGGUCCCCCACAUUGGAACUGAGACACGGUCCAAACUNAUACGGGAGGCAGCAGUGAGGAAUAUUUGUCAAUGGACGAGAGUUUGAACCAGCCCAGUAGCGUGAAGGAUGACUGCCCUAUGGGUUGUAAACUUCUUUUAUAUGGGAAUAAAGUAUUCCACGUGUGGGAUUUUGUAUGUACCAUAUGAAUAAGGAUCGGGCUAAUUCCGUGCCCAGCAGCCGCGGUAAUACGGAGGAUCCCGAGCGUUAUCCGGAUUUAUUGGGUUUAAAGGGAGCGUAGGUGGAUUGUUAAGUCAGUUGUGAAAAGUUUGCGGCUCAACCGUAAAAUUGCAGUUGAAACUGGCAGUCUUGAGUACAGUAGAGGUGGGCGGAAUUCGUGGUGUAGCGGUGAAAUGCUUAGAUAUCACGAAGAACUCCGAUUGCGAAGGCAGCUCACUAGACUGCAACUGACACUGAUGCUCGAAAGUGUGGGUAUCAAACAGGAUUAGAUACCCUGGUAGUCCACACAGUAAACGAUGAAUACUCGCUGUUUGCGAUAUACAGUAAGCGGCCAAGCGAAAGCAUUAAGUAUUCCACCUGGGGAGUACGCCGGCAACGGUGAAACUCAAAGGAAUUGACGGGGGCCCGCACAAGCGGAAGGAACAUGUGGUUUAAUUUCGAUGAUACGCGAGGAACCUUACCCGGGCUUAAAUUGCAUUUGAAUAAUCUGGAAACAGGUUAGCCGCAAGGCAAANUGUGAAGGUGCUGCAUGGUUGUCGUCAGCUCGUGCCGUGAGGUGUCGGCUUAAGUGCCAUAACGAGCGCAACCCUUAUCUUUAGUUACUAACAGGUCAUGCUGAGGACUCUAGAGAGACUGCCGUCGUAAGAUGUGAGGAAGGUGGGGAUGACGUCAAAUCAGCACGGCCCUUACGUCCGGGGCUACACACGUGUUACAAUGGGGGGUACAGAAGGCAGCUACCUGGCGACAGGAUGCUAAUCCCAAAAACCUCUCUCAGUUCGGAUCGAAGUCUGCAACCCGACUUCGUGAAGCUGGAUUCGCUAGUAAUCGCGCAUCAGCCAUGGCGCGGUGAAUACGUUCCCGGGCCUUGUACACACCGCCCGUCAAGCCAUGAAAGCCGGGGGUACCUGAAGUACGUAACCGCAAGGAGCUCCUAGG